rnacentral:rRNA from 1 species
UACGGGGGGAGCAAGCGUUGUUCGGAUUUACUGGGCGUAAAGGGCGCGUAGGCGGUCGUGACAAGUCACUUGUGAAAUCUCCGGGCUUAACUCGGAACGGUCAAGUGAUACUGCUCGGACUAGAGUACAGAAGGGGCAACUGGAAUUCUCGGUGUAGCGGUGAAAUGCGUAGAUAUCGAGAGGAACACCUGCGGCGAAGGCGGGUUGCUGGGCUGAUACUGACGCUGAGGCGCGAAAGCCAGGGGAGCGAACGGG